rnacentral:rRNA from 1 species
GAUGAACGCUGGCGGCGUGCCUAAUACAUGCAAGUAGAACGCUGAAGGAGGAGCUUGCUCUUCUGGAUGAGUUGCGAACGGGUGAGUAACGCGUAGGUAACCUGCCUGGUAGCGGGGGAUAACUAUUGGAAACGAUAGCUAAUACCGCAUGACAACAGUUAUUGCAUGAUAACUGUUUAAAAGGGGCAACUGCUCCACUACCAGAUGGACCUGCGUUGUAUUAGCUAGUUGGUGAGGUAACGGCUCACCAAGGCGACGAUACAUAGCCGACCUGAGAGGGGGAUCGGCCAACCUGGGACUGAGACACGGCCCAGACUCCUACGGGAGGCAGCAGUAGGGAAUCUUCGGCAAUGGACGGAAGUCUGACCGAGCAACGCCGCGUGAGUGAAGAAGGGUUUCGGAUCGUAAAGCUCUGUUGUAAGAGAAGAACGAGUGUGAGAGUGGAAAGUUCACACUGUGACGGUAUCUUACCAGAAAGGGACGGCUAACUACGUG